GCUGCGCAGGCGCGCUCCGUCUUGACUCCCGAGCGGUCCUGCCUGGUGAGCGCGCACGCACCAGGCCUGGAAAGGCGGCCUCGGGGAGACAGAAAAGAGGGCAGAAGGGGAGGGAAGAGAAAAGAGAGGAAACAUCAGGGAAGGAGGAGGAACCAUCUUCCUCUCACCCCUGCCACUCCUAGUCUGUUUUGUAAGCUGAUGUAUCUCAAGGGCCUGGGACAGCACCUGGCACAUCAUAGGCGCUCAGUAGGUUCCCAAAAUGAGACUCCCCAAGAAGAAGGAAAACAUAAACUCACGUCCAUCCUCUUCCAGGUAUAGAAGUUGACCUUGGUGUCUGGGACAGUGAUAUUCUCACUGAAGCUGCAGCCUUCAGCACAGCCCAUCUGAAAUGCACGACCCCCGAGUCAGGCUCCCCGAGGGCUCCCCUCCACCAUUGCCCCUUACCUAGCUUCCAGCUUGUCGCUCCCACCCCGAACCUUCCCAGCGCUCGGGUUCUGCCUCCUUGGCCUUCAUUCAAUCCCCGCCGCCGCCGCGGUGAGCACACCCCACCCCCCAAACUACCGGCAUCCCCUUCUCCCGGGCAAACUUCAAUCCCGGUGUGACAGAGGCUUCCCCUCUCGCAGAUCCCGGGGAUUGCUCCAAGACCCAGGUAUCAGCUUCCUCCCCACGCACGGAGCCGCCGCUCUUCCCCCCGAACCCGCAAACCGCGUCCCCGUGCCCGGGUCAGAUUUCACCUUUUCCCGGCGGCUCCGGGAGCCCUGCCGGCACGUGGAGGCUGCCCCACCCCCCUUGCCCUUCCGGGGUCCUUGGCAAGUUGUCGGUCCUUGAACCCGGCCACCUCGGGGCCACUAGCCCCAGCGGUAAAUUCCUGCUCAAACAGGGGCCCAGGCGGGCGGGGGCUCCUCCAGCCGGCGGGUACUCACCGCACGACCCCAUCUCCGCGCCUCCCCCGGCCCCUCAGCGACCAGGGGCUCGGCCGGCGCCCUUGCCGGGAGCCCUCAUCCCGGGAAGCGCGGCGGGGCAGGGCCGGCCUCACGCCCUGAGGGAAGGGGCCACCGUCCGAGGGCCGCCGAGCCGGGGUCGCGCACAGCGAGCGCAGGACUGCUGGCCACGGUCCGCGAGGACUGGCGCGCGGCGACCGGUCGGGGUUGGCCCGGGGACUGCGGCUCGGCCGGGGGUCGGGGCUGUUAUCAGCAUGUGUGCGUGCGUGUGUGGGGGUGGGGGGCAGGCUGUGUGCGUGAGGGGUCGCCGGAGGUAGGGGCCAGAGGGGUCAGACCGGGGCAGGACGCCUAGGUCGGGGGUUCGCCGGGGCGGGAGCACAGCGGCCGCAGGCGCGGAGCGGGGCACCGGUCUGCGCGUCCGAGCCCGGGUUCUGGGAGGUGCCGCUGGGUGCGCACCCGCGGGAGGGGUGCCAUUCUGGGAAAGGCUGGGGGCCUCCGACGCUCCCUGGGGGUGGGAGAGUGGGGCGUCCCGUUCUCGGGCCAAGGUGGGGGGGUUCAGAGCUGGGGGUGCCGGUUCCUGCGAGGCAGCUGGGUCUGGAGGCCGGGAAGGUGCUGGCAGAGGCGAGUUGCCUUCCUCUCACAAUCCCACUACUUCUAGAAGCCAGUAUUUGUUCAUGGUCUGGAAUUUUAUGGGGGCACACGAAGCAAGAAAUCUGGGGGUCUUCUCUCCCCACUCAUCACUUUCCAGGACUCUGAAAACCCAGAAAUGGAACUUUCGGGCACCUGGUAUGUUGUGCAGGACAGGCCAUGCACUUUGACAUCCUUUUUGUUGUUUUUGUCUCUGACCUGUGAUAUAGGUUAGUCUGCGUGGCAGAAUUCUUAAGAACUCUGAAAUAGAGCUAUCCCCCAGAAUGAUGGCUCUUCAGAUUUGCAGCUCAGCCUUUGGGGCUUCUAGGAAGCAUCCGGGCAAGCUGUCUAGAGCAGGAGUCCAAGGCUGGCUGGUCUCUCAAACCUUGGAAAGAGGUCUCAGUCCUGAGCCUCAGUGCCCUGACCUAUCAAAUGGGGCUGAUGGAAGUCCCAGUCCCAAAGUCCUACAAAUACAGAUGGUUAUAUAUAUUCCUUCACAUCCUUACCAGUUCUGUGAUACUAAAGAUAUCUCAUUCAAGCCAUCGGUGCCUUCUUUUGUCAAGUCAGCUGACUUUUGCAAGACAAAAAGAUGUGUUUGAGACCUU